UAUCAGAGCCAAGUUUCGAUCCUGGGACCUGUGGGUUAUGAGCCCACCACGCUUCCGCUGCGCCACUCUGAUUUUGCUUUGUUAGACUAUUAUAAAUUAU